GGGGUUGUGGCUCAGUGGUAGAGUGCUUGCCUGGCUCGCAUGAGGCACUGGGUUCGAUCCUCAGUACCACA
rnacentral:tRNA from 1 species